UGUUUCGGCUAGGGGGCCAUCCCGGCUUACCAACCCGAUGCAAACUGCGAAUACCGGAGAAUGUUAUCACGGGAGACACACGGCGGGUGCUAACGUCCGUCGUGAAGAGGGAAACAACCCAGACCGCCAGCUAAGGUCCCAAAGUCAUGGUUAAGUGGGAAACGAUGUGGGAAGGCCCAGACAGCCAGGAUGUUGGCUUAGAAGCAGCCAUCAUUUAAAGAAAGCGUAAUAGCUCACUGGUCGAGUCGGCCUGCGCGGAAGAUGUAACGGGGCUAAACCAUGCACCGAAGCUGCGGCAGCGACACUAUGUGUUGUUGGGUAGGGGAGCGUUCUGUAAGCCUGUGAAGGUGGCCUGUGAGGGUUGCUGGAGGUAUCAGAAGUGCGAAUGCUGACAUAAGUAACGAUAAAGCGGGUGAAAAGCCCGCUCGCCGGAAGACCAAGGGUUCCUGUCCAACGUUAAUCGGGGCAGGGUGAGUCGACCCCUAAGGCGAGGCCGAAAGGCGUAGUCGAUGGGAAACGGGUUAAUAUUCCCGUACUUGGUGUUACUGCGAAGGGGGGACGGAGAAGGCUAUGUUGGCCGGGCGACGGUUGUCCCGGUUUAAGCGUGUAGGCUGGUUUUCCAGGCAAAUCCGGAAAAUCAAGGCUGAGGCGUGAUGACGAGGCACUACGGUGCUGAAGCAACAAAUGCCCUGCUUCCAGGAAAAGCCUCUAAGCAUCAGGUAACAUCAAAUCGUACCCCAAACCGACACAGGUGGUCAGGUAGAGAAUACCAAGGCGCUUGAGAGAACUCGGGUGAAGGAACUAGGCAAAAUGGUGCCGUAACUUCGGGAGAAGGCACGCUGACAUGUAGGUGAAGUGAUUUACUCAUGGAGCUGAAGUCAGUCGAAGAUACCAGCUGGCUGCAACUGUUUAUUAAAAACACAGCACUGUGCAAACACGAAAGUGGACGUAUACGGUGUGACGCCUGCCCGGUGCCGGAAGGUUAAUUGAUGGGGUCAGCGCAAGCGAAGCUCCUGAUCGAAGCCCCGGUAAACGGCGGCCGUAACUAUAACGGUCCUAAGGUAGCGAAAUUCCUUGUCGGGUAAGUUCCGACCUGCACGAAUGGCGUAAUGAUGGCCAGGCUGUCUCCACCCGAGACUCAGUGAAAUUGAACUCGCUGUGAAGAUGCAGUGUACCCGCGGCAAGACGGAAAGACCCCGUGAACCUUUACUAUAGCUUGACACUGAACAUUGAGCCUUGAUGUGUAGGAUAGGUGGGAGGCUUUGAAGUGUGGACGCCAGUCUGCAUGGAGCCGACCUUGAAAUACCACCCUUUAAUGUUUGAUGUUCUAACGUGGACCCGUAAUCCGGGUUGCGGACAGUGUCUGGUGGGUAGUUUGACUGGGGCGGUCUCCUCCUAAAGAGUAACGGAGGAGCACGAAGGUUGGCUAAUCCUGGUCGGACAUCAGGAGGUUAGUGCAAUGGCAUAAGCCAGCUUGACUGCGAGCGUGACGGCGCGAGCAGGUGCGAAAGCAGGUCAUAGUGAUCCGGUGGUUCUGAAUGGAAGGGCCAUCGCUCAACGGAUAAAAGGUACUCCGGGGAUAACAGGCUGAUACCGCCCAAGAGUUCAUAUCGACGGCGGUGUUUGGCACCUCGAUGUCGGCUCAUCACAUCCUGGGGCUGAAGUAGGUCCCAAGGGUAUGGCUGUUCGCCAUUUAAAGUGGUACGCGAGCUGGGUUUAGAACGUCGUGAGACAGUUCGGUCCCUAUCUGCCGUGGGCGCUGGAGAACUGAGGGGGGCUGCUCCUAGUACGAGAGGACCGGAGUGGACGCAUCACUGGUGUUCGGGUUGUCAUGCCAAUGGCACUGCCCGGUAGCUAAAUGCGGAAGAGAUAAGUGCUGAAAGCAUCUAAGCACGAAACUUGCCCCGA
rnacentral:rRNA from 1 species